UACGAGGCGCACAAGUGGUCGGCUGGUUCAUCUGGAGGAAUUUAUAUUUAGUCUUCACUGUGGGACUGGCUGCGCGUCUUAGACGUUUACGAUAAAUAAAAAUUAAAAAAGAAACGUUAUUUCUGCACAUGAGCGGACCGGAUCUGAGAAGCGAGCGGACCCACUUCCUGAGCUCAGCCUUGUCGAGUCGGUAGGGACGGUAUGGCUGUGCGGUCCAGGACGGGAUUCUACCGGCAGGAGGUUAACAGAACUGUGUGGGAGGUUCCGGAGAGGUACCGGGACUUGAAGCAGGUCGGGACAGGAGCGUAUGGAACAGUGUGUUCAGCAUGGGACCGCCGGACAGGAACGCAGGUGGCCAUCAAGAAACUCCACCGGCCCUUCCAGUCCAAACUUUUUGCCAAAAGGGCAUACAGAGAGCUGCGACUCCUCAAACACAUGAAGCAUGAAAAUGUGAUUGGUCUGCUGGAUGUUUUCACUGCUGAAAUCUCAUUGGACCGCUUGCGUGACUUUUACCUGGUGAUGCCGUUCAUGGGCACUGACCUGGGGAAGCUGAUGAAGCUGGAGAGGUUAUCGGAGGACAGAGUGCAGUUCCUCGUCUAUCAGAUGCUGAAAGGACUCAAGUAUAUCCACUCCGCAGGGAUCGUCCACAGGGACCUUAAGCCUGGAAAUUUGGCCAUUAACCCAGACUGCGAGUUAAAGAUUCUUGACUUUGGCCUGGCGAGGCAGGCGGACACAGAAAUGACCGGCUACGUUGUGACACGCUGGUACCGAGCGCCUGAGGUCAUCCUCAACUGGAUGCACUACACACAAACUGUGGAUAUCUGGUCUGCAGGUUGCAUCAUGGCAGAGAUGCUGCUGGGAAAGCCACUGUUCAAAGGAAGCGAUCACCUGGACCAACUCAGAGAAAUCAUGAAGAUUACAGGAACUCCAACUGCUGACUUUGUCGUGAAGCUACAGAGCCAAGAUGCCAAAAGCUACAUCAGAAAUCUACCAAAAGUGCCAAAAAAAGAUUUGCACUCUGUUUUCUCCAAAGCUAGCCCAAAUGCCGUUUGUGUCUUGGAAAAGAUGCUGCUCCUGGACCCUGAGAGGAGGGUGAGCGCCUCGGAGGCGCUGGACCUGCCUUUCUUUAGCGAUUUCAGAGACACAGAGGAGGAGACUGAGGCGCUGCCCUACGAUCAGACCAUGGACAACACAGACCUGCCACUGGACCAGUGGAAACGUCACACUUUCACAGAGAUACUGACCUUCAGGCUGCCCCGGGACUCAAAGGAGACGUCACUUUAAGACCAAACAGACACACACAUUGUGUACACAUACCUCUGCACACAUUUUUACACUCUUUUCUUUGUAUUUGUGUAGGAGUGAGGGAUUUGUUGUUAGUUUUUGCUUUUAAUAAAUGUGAUUUGCUCAAUUGUUAAGAAGCUGAGUUGUGAUUUUAGUGUUUGUGUGCCAGAUUAUUUUGUCCAUCAAUGUGUAGACCUCAUGUUUAAAUCCAAGCUAACUGCGUCUGUGUCCUUAAACUCAGUGUGUCCAUUGUGCAACUGUUUUUUCAUCUGUUUGCAUUUUGAUCAUUUACUCUGAUAAUGGACAUUAAUUCUGGUACUACGGGGUGAGGUCACCAGUCGUACAGUACCAAGCUGAAUGCUGGAAGGGCAGAAGUGAAUAAUAUGCUUACACACAAAUCAUAUCAGCUUCUACAGCUGGACUGCAUGACUGCUUCUCUAAUCUUAUUUUAGGUGUUUACUCUGUAGCUGAAUCUAUUAAAUUUUGUUUGUAAUAAUAUGUCUGUUUUGCAUUAUAAAUCAUAACUUGAAUGCAACAUAUUCCCUUUACAGUGAUCAGACCUGUGACAUUUCCUUUUUGGGCUCACUCUCCGAACCAUUAAACUAUCCAAAGCAUUCACUCAAGCCGACUCUGAGCCAGAAACUCAAAGGCAGGAGUACUGCUGCUAUAUAUUCCUUAACUCUUCAAUGGACUCCCCUCUCAUCUGGACAACUGAGGAACAAUUUGCUAGUAAAUAUUUGUAGCUGAAGAAAUCCGGAAAAAUAGUGAAACAUUUACACUCUGGGUCACAAUCUAAGCAAUGGAUUUCUCAUUAGAGUGACUAAGAGGGCAGAUGUGUUUCCUCUCAGCUCUCUCCGAUAAAAGCUGUUUGCCUGCUGAUGGUGACUGGCUGUGUAGCGCCAGUUGUCUAUUUCCUGGUGGCCUUACACUACACGUUCUUACAGGACAAUGGAAAAUAACUACACAUCUAAACAAAACGGAGGACAUUCAAAUCUCAGCAGACUUUUGUUGCUGCUGUUUCUGGCAGGCCUUCAGCCAGCACUGUCUUCAGAUGGAGAGCAGCCUGAACUAGAUGACGAUGACGAUGACAAAGGAGUGAAAGUAUCGAUUGUCGGUCCGGACUAUGUAACGGUGGGCGUGCCAAGCAGCAUUGAGUGCGACGCCAAAUGUCCUGCAUGUACCUACUCUAUGUCUUUGGAUGGCCAGAGUGCCCAGGGUCAGGGCAAUGUACUAGCCUUCACUGUAACCAGUUGGGUGGAGGCUUUAACAGUGACAUGUACAGCCACAAAUGAACACACAGAGUUGACUGCCACCGCAACAAAGCAGCUGCAGGUGUUAGCUGGGCCUGCCAACAUUUCCAUCUCAGGCCCUGAUUUGAUGAAUCCAUCAGUGAGCCACACGUACAGCUGCCACGCCUACUGUCAGCCAUCUUGUACCUACACCUGGAAGGCAGACAAUGGUCCAUGGAUUAGUGGUCAGGGGAAUGUGAUUUCUGUCACUCCUCAGGAGAUGGACAGCUUCAAAUUUCUCAUCUGUAAAGCCACCAAUAGUGUUUCGGGGCUGUUCAUCGCUGCCACUCGAAACAUAACUGUAAUAACGGGUCCAUCAGACGUCCAGAUCAAAGGCUCCAACAUGAUCAAAAUCGCAGAAAAGUAUAAGUUCGUGUGUACAGCUGAAUGUCAGCCAUCUUGUCGCUACGUAUCGUCUGUGGACACUCUGACCCUGAGGGGCAAUGUGAUUGAGAUGACAGUGGAUCAUCCUCUCAAAUCUGUCACUCUCAAGUGUGAAGCACAAAACACUGCUUCGAGGAAGACAGCCACAGUUUUAAAAACUAUACAAAUAAAAGGUACAGGGUCAGAGCACAACCUGUCCGCUCGUCCUGAAGAGACUUCAGCAGUGCUGCUGCUGGCCUUCAUCAUUUCUGCUGCCUCUUUACUGUGAUCUAAUGCAGACAGGUUCUGUGAAUGAUUUUGUGACAAAGAAAGGUGGCUGAAUUGUGGCGAAUUAAUGACUCAUACACCAGCAUCUCACUCUGCAUGCAGUUCUUUUACAUUUGUCUCACAUGUUGACAGUGGGCUGAACCCUGUUUGCACUUUGUAGUAAGUGACGUGGAACGGCACUUCAAUAUCAAAGCGUGGAGAAGGAAGUCAGCACAUUUACUGCCAGAAUUUGUUGAUCUGUGAAGAUAUUUGUAAGAGUCUUCUACACUAAUACAGUUGAAAUGUUGACACAUACAUUUAUGUCUAUACCUAAUCAAAAUGCACUGAUGACUUUUAUAACAAGACUCAGACACCUAUUCUUCAGUUU